rnacentral:rRNA from 1 species
GACGAACGCUGGCGGCGCGCUUAACACAUGCAAGUCGAACGGAAAGGCCUGCUUUCCCUUGUGGGUUGCGGGUACUCGAGUGGCGAACGGGUGAGUAACACGUGAGUGAUCUGCCCCCAACUUGGGUAUAAGCCUGGGAAACUGGGUCUAAUUCCCGAUAGGACUGCAGGGUGGUGCCUGUGGUGGAAAACGAUUUGCUAGUGGUUGGGGAUGAGCUCGCGGCCUAUCAGCUUGUUGGUGGGGUAAUGGCCUACCAAGGCGGCGACGGGUAGCCGGCCUGGGAGGGUGGACGGCCACAUUGGAACUGAGAUACGGCCAAGACUCCUACGGGAGGCAGCAGUGGGGAAUAAUGCACAAUGGGCGGAAGCCUGAUGCAGCGACGCCGAGUGGGCGAUGACGGCCUUCGGGUUGUAACCUCCUUUCGACCGCGAGGAAGCCACCUGGUUGGAAGGGUGGUGACGGUAGUGGUAGAAGAAGCACCGGCUAACUACGUG